UGGCCUACUUCCUCUCAAAAGAGAUGAAGUGGAAUACUCUAAUUUCAUCACAGCAAAGACCCCAGCUUCUUUUCCAAUUUCCUCCUUUAGUAACCCACGGAUUAUUUUCUGCUUUCUGUUAUGCACAGCGAAAGACCAAAUCUAUAUAGUUUAGAAGCUGUCUGCAAAUCCCA